rnacentral:tmRNA from 1 species
GGGGGCGCCUUGGUUUCGACGGGGACGCGGACGCUGUGUCUUGCAUGUCGAGGUGCGGUACCUCGUAAAACAGCUGCAAAACUUAUAGACGCCAACAAUAAGCGUUUUGCUCUCGCUGCUUAAAGCGGGAUGUUGCACAAGUCAGGCUCCGGGCUUGGUCUGGUAAAACAGACAGCAACAUCGAUCUAGGAGUCUAGGUUCCUGUGGUGUUGGUACGCCGGAACUGAAAAUUUCAUCAACUAGUCACUCAGUAUGCCUGAUGUUCGGCGCGCUCAGUGGCGAAACUCAAGUAGAGCAUCUAAGCAUGUAGAUAGAACAGAAAAAGGUUUCCGGACGCGGGUUCAACUCCCGCCGCCUCCACCA